rnacentral:misc_RNA from 1 species
GAUGAAGAACGUAGCGAAAUGCGAUAAGUAAUGUGAAUUGCAGAAUUCAGUGAAUCAUCGAAUCUUUGAACGCACAUUGCGCCCACCAGUAUUCUGGCGGGCAUGCCUGUCUGAGCGUCAUUUCAACCCUCAUGCCCCUAGGGCGUGGUGUUGGGGAUCGGCCAAAGCCCGCGAGGGACGGCCGGCCCCUAAAUCUAGUGGCGGACCCGUCGUGGCCUCCUCUGCGAAGUAGUGAUAUUCCGCAUCGGAGAGCGACGAGCCCCUGCCGUUAAACCCCCAACUUUCCAAGGUUGACCUCAGAUCAGGUAGGAAUACCCGCUGAACUUAAGCAUAUCAAUAAGCGGAGGA